GCUUAGCCCUAAACCUCAAUAAUUGCUAACAAAAUUAUUUGCCAGAGAACUACUAGCCACAGCUUAAAACUCAAAGGACUUGGCGGUACUUUAUAUCCAUCUAGAGGAGCCUGUUCUAUAAUCGAUACACCCCGUUAUACCUCACCACCCCUUGCUAAUACAGCCUAUAUACCGCCAUCUUCAGCAAACCCUAAAAAGGAACACAAGUAAGCAAGAGAACAAACAUAAAAACGUUAGGUCAAGGUGUAGCCUAUGAGGUGGGAAGAAAUGGGCUACAUUUUCUUUAACAAGAACAUACGAAAACCUUUAUGAAACUAAAGGACUAAGGAGGAUUUAGUAGUAAAUUAAGAAUAGAGAGCUUAWUUGAAUAGAGCAAUGAAGUGCGC
rnacentral:rRNA from 1 species